rnacentral:rRNA from 1 species
CCCUCCACCGAAUGCCUAAGGUUUCCUGAGGAAGGCUCGUCCGCUCAGGGUUAGUCGGGACCUAAGCCGAGGCCGAAAGGCGUAGGCGAUGGAUAACAGGUUGAUAUUCCUGUACCACCUCCUCACCAUUUGAGCAAUGGGGGGACGCAGGAGGAUAGGGUAAGCGCGGUAUUGGAUAUCCGCGUCCAAGCAGUUAGGCUGGGAAAUAGGCAAAUCCGUUUCCCGCAAAGGCUGAGCUGUGAUGGCGAGUGAAAU